GAUUGAACCUGGCGGAGGCUUAAACAUGCAAGUCGAGCGGGGGAAGGAGUUGCUACCGGACCUAGCGGCGGACGGGUGAGUAAUGCUUAGGAAUCUGCCUAUUAGUGGGGGACAACAUCUCGAAAGGGAUGCUAAUACCGCAUACGUCCUACGGGAGAAAGCAGGGGAUCUUCGGACCUUGCGCUAAUAGAUGAGCCUAAGUCGGAUUAGCUAGUUGGUGGGGUAAAGGCCUACCAAGGCGACGAUCUGUAGCGGGUCUGAGAGGAUGAUCCGCCACACUGGGACUGAGACACGGCCCAGACUCCUACGGGAGGCAGCAGUGGGGAAUAUUGGACAAUGGGGGGAACCCUGAUCCAGCCAUGCCGCGUGUGUGAAGAAGGCUUAUGGUUGUAAAGCACUUUAAGCGAGGAGGAGGCUACUUUAGUUAAUACUAGAGAUAUGGACGUUACUCNCAAAAUAAGCACCGGCUAACUCUUUCACACCCGGG
rnacentral:rRNA from 1 species